CUAGGCAACAAUUGUGGUGCAAUACAGAGAAGCAUAACGGAGGAAAGCCACAGACAAGAUAGAUAAAGGAGACACGACAGAGACCAAGAAAUUUUAAGAAAGCUCAUGGCCUGCUCUUGAAUGGGAUUGCCCUGAUAACUAUCUGUUGGUACAUAGCAGCAAGAGCAGCUCCAAUGAAUGGUCCAACCCAGAAAAUCCACUGAGGAGAGAGAAAAGGAAUUGCUUAGUGUUCAUCAUCCUGUCAAAAGCUACGAUAGGAGAAAAAAAAAAGAUCACUCGAUCACUUCCUUGUAGACUUACAUGAUCAUUCCAUGCAUGGCUCUUGUCAUAAACAAUUGCAGCUCCAAGGCUUCUGGCAGGAUUGAUGCCAGUGCCGGUGAUGGGGAUGGUGGCCAGGUGAACAAGGAACACUGCAAAUCCAAUAGGCAAGGGAGCAAGAACCUGCAAGAAACUCCACAAGAUAUAAGCCCCACAGUGGACAGAAACAAGGAGCUAUGGUGGAUCAUGCAAGUCGAUCAAAAUAUUUAUGCAUGUUAGGUCAUUUGGCUGCUCACAAGUGCUCAUUAAUCUAAGUUGCAUAUGAAAUGCAACAAGCAAAUAGAUAUUGCUAAAACAGGAAGGAAACUCACAGGCACAUGAGAGUCCCUAGCACUCCUCUUGGCAUCAGUGGCAGAGAAGACUGUGUAAACCAGGAUGAAGGUGCCAACAAUCUCAGCACCCAAGCCACCACCCUUGGUGUAACCAGGGGCCACAACAUUCGCUCCACCUCCAUUGUUCUCAUAGAGCCCCUUCUUAAACCCUUUCACCACGCCCGCACCGCAUAUGGCACCUAGACACUGCAUCACCAUGUAGAACAGAGCCCUGGUCAGGGACAGCUUCCUGGCCAGGAGCAGCCCAAAGGUCACAGCCGGGUUGAUGUGGCCACCUGAAAACCCAGAGCAUAACUCAGUCGAAGAUAUUGCCGUGAUCACAAGUGAGGAAGGAAACAAGCAGAGGAUGUGUUUGUUCACCUGAGAUCCCAGCGGUGCAGUAGACCAAGAUAAAGAUCAUGCCACCAAAGGCCCAGGCAAUCCCCUGGAUGCCCACGGUGGAGCACUUGGUGUUGGACUUGACCACACCCAUGACGGUGAGGAUGCUGAUGUAGAGGAAGAGGAAGGUGGCCAUGAAUUCUGCUAUGCCAGCCCUGUAGAAGGACCAUGAGCUGAGCUCCGCUGGCUCAAACAGUGGAG
rnacentral:lncRNA from 1 species